AUUGAACGCUGGCGGCAGGCCUAACACAUGCAAGUCGAACGGUAACAGGAUGAAGCUUGCUUCUUUGCUGACGAGUGGCGGACGGGCGAGUAAUGUCUGGGAAACUGCCCGAUGGAGGGGGAUAACUACUGGAAACGGUAGCUAAUCUAGCAUAACGUCGCAUGACCAAAGAGCGGGUGCUUCGGGCCUCUUGCUAUUCGAUGAGCCCAGAUGGUAUUAGCUAGUAGGUGGGGUAACGGCUCACCGACGCGACGAUCCCCAGCUGGUGUGAGUGGAUGACCAGGCACACUGGAACUGAAACACGGUCCAGACUACAACGGGAGGGAGCGGAGGAGUAUAGUGCACAAGGGGCGCAAGCCGGAUGCAACCCAGCCGCGUGUAUGGAAAAGGCCUUCGGGUUGUGAAGUUCUUCCAGCGGUGAGGAAGAGAGUAAAGUUAAUACCUUGACUCAUUGACGUUACCCGAAGAAGAAGCACCGGCUAACUCCGUG
rnacentral:rRNA from 1 species